CUUCCAAAGACAGCUCCAGGACGUGAGGGUGCUUUGGCGGUCUUCAGCUGCACAGCAGGGGGUCCUCCUCUAAAGACAGCUCCAAGACAUGGUCUCCCUCAGUCACAUGGAUUGGAAAACCUGGGAAAAAUUCAAGAGAACAGAGGGUGAGGUGGCGUUCUUCAGCUGCACAGCAGGAGGUUCUAGUCCAAAGACAGCUCCAGGACAUCGGCCAAUUUUCAGAGGGUGCCUUGGCGGCCUUCAUCUGCACAGCAGGGGGUCCUCCUCCAAGACAGAUCCAGGACAUGGCUUUGUUCCCAGAGUUCCUGGCCCUCAAUUGCACAGAAUGGCAUCCUCCAUACACAGAAGCUCCAGAACAUUGACAGUGAUUCCUGUGCAGCACAAAGAGAAGUCCUCCCUAAAGCAACAACACUCCUCCCUGCCGGGAGGAAAUUUUCAGUAA
rnacentral:lncRNA from 1 species